rnacentral:rRNA from 1 species
ACACUCCUGCGGGAGGCAGCAGUGGGGAAUUUUGGACAAUGGGCGAAAGCCUGAUCCAGCAAUGCCGCGUGCAGGAUGAAGGCCUUCGGGUUGUAAACUGCUUUUGUACGGAACGAAAAAGCUCCUUCUAAUACAGGGGGCCCAUGACGGUACCGUAAGAAUAAGCACCGGCUAACUACGUGCCAGCAGCCGCGGUAAUACGUAGGGUGCGAGCGUUAAUCGGAAUUACUGGGCGUAAAGCGUGCGCAGGCGGUUAUGUAAGACAGAUGUGAAAUCCCCGGGCUCAACCUGGGAACUGCAUUUGUGACUGCAUGGCUAGAGUACGGUAGAGGGGGAUGGAAUUCCGCGUGUAGCAGUGAAAUGCGUAGAUAUGCGGAGGAACACCGAUGGCGAAGGCAAUCCCCUGGACCUGUACUGACGCUCAUGCACGAAAGCGUGGGGAGCAAACAGGAUUAGAUACCCUAGUAGUCC